GACGAACGCUGGCGGCAUGCCUAAUACACGCAAGUCGAGCGAACAGAUGAAGUGCUUGCACUUCUGACGUUAGCGGCGAACGGGUGAGUAACACGUAAGGAAUCUACCUAUAAGCGGGGGAUAACAUUCGGAAACGGGUGCUAAUACCGCAUAAUAUCUUCUUCCGCAUGGAAGGAGAUUGAAAGACGGCUCUGCUGUCACUUCUAGCUGACCUUGCGGUGCAUUAGUUAGUUGGUGGGGUAACGGCCUACCAAGACGAUGAUGCAUAGCCGACCUGAGAGGGUGAUCGGCCACAUUGGGACUGAGACACGGCCCAAACUCCUACGGGAGGCAGCAGUAGGAAAUCUUCCGCAAUGGGCGAAAGCCUGACGGAGCAAUGCCGCGUGAGUGAAGAAGGCCUUCGGGUCGUAAAACUCUGUUAUAACAGAAGAACAAAUUGUAGAGUAACUGCUACAGUCUUGACGGUAUCUUAUCAGAAAGCCACGGCUAACUACGUGCCAGCCGCCGCGGUAA
rnacentral:rRNA from 1 species